GGCCUGAUGGUCUAGGAGUAUGAUUCGUUGUUAGGGCUUUUCAAGCGUUUCGACGAGGUCCCGGGUUCAAUUCCCGGUCAGGCCC
rnacentral:tRNA from 1 species